ACGCUCCAGACGAUUAUCACCGCCGUCCGCGACUCCCUUAGCAAUCCGACUUUUUCCUCACGCCGUUCCGAAAUCGAUCGUUGUUUCUUUUCUUCUCGACGGUACACCAUGCACGACCCCGACCUCUUGUAUGGCUUCUUUUUCCGCGUGCCCGGUAUCUACCCUCUAUCACAUUCCGACUCACUCCACCCCCUCGACCGUAUCGAGACGCACCUUGCUUACGGUGUCAACUUGUAAUUUAAUUUGCUCUCUUCGUCUUUGACCAUACCCAUUCAUGUAUCGUGUUAAAUGUCCACUGCAUAUGUGUAUAAUAUAAUAUAUUAUGAUUUUGUUAAAUUGUCCGUUGAAUCGUCCCGUGGUCGGCCGAUUCGCGCGCUGUCUCCGACGUUGCGUAUAUUAUCAGUACUUAAAUGGGUAAUAGGUAAAAUUACAUAAACGAACGCGUGGGGUCGAGACGCCUCAGGCCCGAAAUCAUUACGGUGCGAUACGCGCUCACAAUGACAAUAAUAAUGAUAAUGGUAUUAUUAUGUCACGUGGGACCCGUGGAAGAACCGGUAAGAAACCGGAGACGUUGUAAAGACGUCGUCGUUUCGCGCGAACGGCGGCACUGCAGGGAAGUUCACGGAGAAAUGUCCGCGAUGAUGGGAACGAACCGGGCGUGCGCUCGCGGACCUUUUUUUUUAUGUUUUUGACGCGUACUUGUGGCGACGGCGACGACAUUAAAAUAUUUCGCCCGUGGCACCAAAAAAAAAAAUAAUAUACUCUCACGCGACCGCGGUCUCAUCCUCGGGCCAUUAAACGAUGAUGCUAAUGGUAUAAUAUAUCGCGAGCUCGUCAAAAGCGAUAAUAAUAACGAUAAUGAUGAUGAACUGCGAGGCGAAAAAAAAAAUGAAUAAUAGAAAGAUCUCAAGAGUAUAAGUAACAGAAAAAAAAAAAUACGAGAAGAUAAAAAAAAUGGGUCGGCUCUAUACCGUCGGUGUACGUGUACGCGUUAAUACGAGGUCGCGUUUUAUUGGCACGGCCCGUGCGAGGGUCACGAGAUAUUAGGUAUACUUAAAAAAAAAAAAUAAAAAAACUUUCGACGUAAAAGAAACAUUUGGCGAUACGACCGAGAAAUGUGAUUUUCUUUUGUCGCGCACGUAAUUUAAUUAACCCGAAAACCGAUAUGUAUGAUACUUAUGCCACGGUGAGUGCACCUAUACCUAAUAGAUUACCCUAAAAAUAAUAGAUUUUCAAUGUUUAAUCGAGUAAUUACCUUUUGUAAAUAUAACCUGGAACACUGAAUAAAAUAUAUAAUGAGUAUAUGGACUAUUGCAUAUUAUGUCGCCGUAAUUAAAGCGAUAUUAGUCGCUAUGUCCGUAGAAUUUUGUAAAAUUUUACUAUAAAUUAACGAUUCUUGUAAUAGACGUCAGUACUCAAUCAGUCAGUUGUCAGGAAUCAGUGUCAGCGUAUGCAGUAGGCAAUAAUAAAUCGUUUUCAUUGAGUAUAAAAAAAAUUAAACUAAGCCGUUAUAUAUAAUACCGUAAAAUAAAAUAAAUAAAUGUAAUUAAAAAAUUUAAAAAAAGAAAAGUAAGUCAAUGGGAACGGGUGCAGCCACUGGUGUAGGUGAGAAGUUGAAAAGGUAGGUUGUAAACGGGAAUUUAAUGUAUAUCUGUAAGCAACGAUAAACCAUUACUUACGAAAAAACGAUUCUGAGCCGAGUUCAGUUGAUAGUGAUGAUUUGUCAAUAUGUUGUAUAUGUCAUUUUAUAGUAAAAUAAUUAAAAAGGUUUUAUACAUUAUUUUCUUUAAUGAAAUUUGUUUAAUGUUGUACCGAUUUUCCCAGUUUUCCUACGUUUUUCCUGGUUUUCCCAUGUUUUAUCGCGGUUUUUCACAUUUGCUGAAAAACCCGAAAAAUUGCUGGUAGAAAAGUUUUGCAUGGAAAAAAAGGAGGCCGUAAUAUAUUUUAAAUAAUUACUACAUUUUUUAUAUUUUCCUGUUUUUUAUUUUUGGUUUUUUAAAUUUGAUGAAAAAACUCCUGAGAAAAUCGAAAAAAGACUUAUUUAAGGUACCUUCACAGUGAAAUUUCCUUUCAGAAACAUUUCUGUCAUUAAAAGUUGGAGCAAAAUUGCUGAUGGAAAAGUUGUUCACAGAAAAAAAAUCGGAAGAUUAUAUUUAUUAUAUUUUAUAAAUUUCCGGUUUUUUUUUUUCGGUUUAUCGCAUUUAAUGAGAAAACUUGAGAAAAAUGACCUCUAUAAAGUACCUCCGAAGUAUAUCGAGUCUGAAGCAUUUAAUGACACAAAGUUGGAAGAACUUAUUCAUAAAUUGUCUAUAACAAAAUCAAGGAAGAAACGUUUUUGUUAAAAAUAUACUUCCAAGCUUCUUAUUUACAUUACAUUGUAUUAAUCUAAAAC